rfam:Salmo salar isolate Sally breed double haploid chromosome ssa15, whole genome shotgun sequence.
UAUACGUACGCAUGACUAAGUCGCUUUGGAUAAAAGCGUCUGCUAAAUGACCUACA